GAUGAACGCUGGCGGCGUGCCUAAUACAUGCAAGUCGAGCGAACAGAUGAGGAGCUUGCUCCGCUGACGUUAGCGGCGGACGGGUGAGUAACACGUGGAUAACCUACCUAUAAGACUGGGAUAACUUCGGGAAACCGGAGCUAAUACCGGAUAAUAUACUGAACCGCAUGGUUCAAUAGUGAAAGACGGUGUUGCUGUCACUUAUAGAUGGUUCCGCGCCGCAUUAGCUAGUUGGUAAGGUAACGGCUUACCAAGGCAACGAUGCGUAGCCGACCUGAGAGGGUGGUCGGCCACACUGGAGCUGAGCCACGGUCCAGACUCCUACGGGAGGCAGCAGUAGGCAAUCUUCCGCAAUGGGCGAAAGCCUGACGGAGCAGCGCCGCGUGAGUGAUGAAGGUCUUCGGAUCGUAAAACUCUGUUAUUAGGGAAGAACAACUGUGUAAGUAACUAUGCACGUCUUGACGGUACCUAAUCAGAAAGCCCCGGCUAACUACGUG
rnacentral:rRNA from 1 species